GACGAACGCUGGCGGCGUGCUUAACACAUGCAAGUCGAACGGUGAAGCGCCUUCCUUUUUGGUGGGUGUGGAUGAGUGGCGAACGGGUGAGUAACACGUGAGUAACCUGCCCCCUUCUUCUGGAUAACCGCAUGAAAGUGUGGCUAAUACGGGAUAUUCUGGGUCUGUCGCAUGAUGGGUCUGGGAAAGAUAUUGUUUCGGUGGGGGAUGGGCUCGCGGCCUAUCAGCUUGUUGGUGGGGUGAUGGCCUACCAAGGCGGUGACGGGUAGCCGGCCUGAGAGGGUGGACGGUCACACUGGGACUGAGACACGGCCCAGACUCCUACGGGAGGCAGCAGUGGGGAAUAUUGCACAAUGGGCGCAAGCCUGAUGCAGCGACGCCGCGUGAGGGAUGGAGGCCUGCGGGUUGUGAACCUCUUUCGCCAGUGAAGCGGGCCUGCCUCGUUUGUGGGUGGGUUGACGGUAGCUGGAUAAGAAGCGCCGGCUAACUACGUG
rnacentral:rRNA from 1 species